UUCAACUGAACACUUUACACCCUUAAUGCCACACCCCGUGAAUACAAAUGGGAGAGAGAAAUCGUUAAGAGGCCCAGCAUCAUGAAACUACCUUAUAGGUCGGGGAGAUUUGGUAAUGGUGGUGGUUGUGGGAUGCCGGGCUCGUAUGUGAGUAAAGAGGCUCAGUGGUCCGGCAGCUUAUAGAGGGGACACUGUUACUGUGAACAGAGCUGUGGACCUGCUUGGACUCAUUUAACAUCUGCUGCAGAGAACAGCUGGACAGAGGAUCAUCACCCUGGUGAGAGGAGGAAAGAGCUCAUUUAAUUGGGAGAAGGCUGUAACUUCAUAUUUAAUGUGGACACAUACAGUAAAGUGGGUAUCAAUCUUCUUAUUUAACUCUAAGAAAGCAAAUACAUGAAUGACUAUUCCUUUAAAAUGUUGACCAUUUGUGUUUCACUGGUGAUAUACAUUGUGGGUUCAUAAGUACGUUAUUGAAACUUCUCUGAUGUUUGAAUUUACAAAGCUAAUUUCAAUAUGGGCUCUGUUUCUGUCUUACAUCAAUGGAGUGUUCUGAGAAGUCUUGCAGGUCACUGUUCACCCUGGUGUGCAGAUUGGCUGCUGGUGGAGAGGCGGCGUCAUUUAAAAGUCUGGAGUUCUUCACUCUGAGUGAUGGAGGGGACCGGCUGUCCACACAGAGACAUCUUAACUCCUCCUGACUGAGACAGAAAAGAAAAAGAUUCUGUUUAUGGAGAAGCCUGAAGAUUCAGAUCACCACUACUCCACACCAUGUGUGCUACAUUUAUGCUUCCCGCUCUCGACUGUUUCAUGUUCCUCUGUUAUCAGGUGUUCUAACCCUCAUCCUCAGUUUUCUCUCAUUGUCCCCACCACAAUGCUCACCAACUCAGUAGCUUUUCUAUAGCAAUAAGUUAUGAAAUUUGCACAUUAAUUACCUGCCCGGUGUUCCCUGACUGUUCUUCUCCCUCAGAAUCUCACGGGUACUCUCCAGGUUUAACUGCAGCAGCUGCAGUUUAGGAUUUGCUUUCAACAAGUUAUGGACCCGACAUUGACCCUGUGCCAUAGACUGCAGGAGCACUCUGAGGUAUGCUGCCAAACCAGAAAUGCCCUUCUGACGUCAACAAAUGUCUGAGGACAGGAAUGUGGAACGAUGCAUUUCCUAAUCUGUGAUUUAACAAGGUGCAGCUCUGACAUGGUGCGUUCCUGUUUGGAGCGAGCCAGUUCCAGCAGCUCGUCUCUCCAGCUGUCUCCCUCACCUGGUGACAAACAUGAAGCGCAAACAUUCGGUUUUCAGACUCGGAGGUGUCUGAUAACAGCACAGAUUAAGAUCAAGAAAUGAAGACCGGAUUAUACUCAUUGCACUCACAUGAAACUUAAACAUUAUCUCCACGUAUGCUUUACACAGUAACCACUAACUAUUGUAUAGUGCUUAAUUGAUAAAUAUCUCUUGAUAGUUUCAAAAUUCAAAUAUUCAUGACACUGUUUGAAUUAACACUGUUAGUUAAUUGAAAACAAAAACAGUUCUAAGCUACAGCUCUUCAAUACUUGAUAUGAUAGUUAGAUUUAUCUGGAUCAAUUGCAUGUUGUGUUCACCACCACUAGCAUUUCUUGUAUUUUGCGGUGUAUAAAUGAAUUCACUUCACCAGCAAAGGGCCAAAAAUAGGAGCACAAUGUACAACAUAAAACACAAUAAUUACAAAACACAUAUAAUUGAUAAUGAAUACAAAUUUAAAAAAAGAUAUUCAAGAACCAGAAAACACAUAACAUCAAACAGUAAGUAAGUUUGGUAAAAUAACAGCAUUAAAUAUUGCAAAAUAAAAACCAAUGUGGGGUGGAUUCAAAUUCUUAAUGAAUAAAUACACAUAAUGGAUAAAUAAAAUCCCUAAACAGUUAAUAAUGACAACAUAUCUUAAUAUUUCGACCAAAUAAAUAGUUUUGAAUCAUUGACAGGAAGAGGAUGGAUUUGGAGUGCUGCGGUUUAUUGUACCUGACAAGGCCAGAUCUCUGCGCAGCAGCUGGAGCUCCUGUUUCAGGCGGAUGAUCUCCUCCCUCUGAGUGCUGCUCUGUGUAACCUGCUGCUGCAGAUCCUCUACAAACACAGGAGAGAAUAAUACAACAAUAGAUGAAAUAAUGAGAUACUUAAUGAAUUAGUCAAUCAACAGAAAAUAUGUUUUUCUAAUUAAAAUUAAAUUACCUUUAAGGUGUGUGAUCUCA